UUUCUUUCUAUUUUAGUUUGAUUUAGCAUCCUUCUUCACCAUAUGACGACCGUUGGAUAAUCAACUUACUCGAUUCUUCUUCUCUCAUCUCUAUUUCCUUUUCAACGUUAUUGCAGCCUAUCCUUUACAUUCGACAGCUUCUCUCUUUUCUUCUUCAUUUGGAUUUCAUCGGCCAUCCAUAGGGAAACAUCUACUGCGACGUAUUCGAAGCCGGCUGAUCAUCGACUCCAUUCCCACCUAUUCGUCAUGAAUCCGCUUCCAUGGUCGGUGCCUCAACGCUCUUCUACCACAGAUUCCAUCGUCGCACACAACAAAUUGUAGAAUCCGGUUCGAUUCUAUAAGCCCUACAUCCAAAAAUGGUCCCCGUUCCUCGCAUUACCGUUUUCUCAAAAUUAGGGCUUUCGUUUUAGUUUCUUUAGCAACUCUUUCAUCUUGAUCCCAAAAUCUACUCUCUCUCAUCUCUGAUAUCAUUAAAAUGAGAUACGUGUUUCUUAUUUCAGUGAUAAAAAGAUUGAAGGAGAUGAAGGUUUGUGUUUAAGAAGCUAAUUGAUUGCUGAAAGAGUAGAUUCCAAGGCUACUAACGAAGAAUCUGAACAAAUUGACAAAAAGAUUUGCCUUUUUCAUACUCAUUGUAUAUUUGAAUCUGUUUUCUUAUAGUCAAAUAUGUUAGUGUGUAUGUGUGUGUUUCAAUAGUGAGUUUUUGAUUGCUAAUUCUUUAUUAGAUUCUCAAACAUCACCAUUUUGACUAUGUUCUUUGUUUUUUAAAGCUAGCCGAGAUCAAUUAUUCUUUUACUCUUAUCUCUUGAAUUUUUGUGUUCUUUGUGAUUAAGCAAGUUUCACUUAUGAUUUGUAUAAUUGAAAGACUCCUGCAGCUGAAUAAGGGAGGGAAGGAGACCGUAUGUAAAAAACUCAUACCUAAUUUACAUCAUUAUUGUUUUUUUUCUUUGUUCUUAUGUUCUGCUAAGAGUUCAUAUUACAGCUAAUUUUAUUAUUUGAUUUACAUAUUUAUGUACUUAUUUUUAAAUGUUUGAAUUGAAAGGAUGAAGUUGAAAUAUGGUUGGAUAAAAUAAUCGUUGGUUUAUGAUAAAAGAUUUUCCCCUGUUUUUAAACUAUCAUAUAACCUUUUUUGUUUUAAUAUUCCUUUUUAUCACAAACAGUAAUGUCUAAGUAUUUUUUUUUUUAAAUUGGUAAAAUAGUGAUGCAUGUGUGUCUUUAAUGAGAAAAACUUAGCAGACUUAUUCUAUAAAUUAUAGAAUUGCACUUUGAUGAGUUUUUUUUAUUGUUAUCAUGGCUUUGUUGGAGUAAAAGAGUUGAUCUUGACAGAUAUGAGAAUUUUUUUUUGGAGUGAUGGUAACAUAUAGACUAGAAGCUUCCUUCUAAAAGAUGUUGAAGGGUUAGAAUGGGAAAAAAUAGUUGUUAGUUGUUUUUAUUUUGAACAUUAUUUUUAUGGUUUAUUAUAAUUUUUUAUUUUUAUUGAUGAUUAAUUAUGCUACUGGAUGUAUUUUCAGUAUGGAUUGAAAUUAGAAUUGUUGAGUAUGGCUUCCACCUCAUGAAUUUGGUUGUAAAUCGAGGUUUACAUCUGGAUGCUGUUGGAACAACUGUAUGUGUUUCUGGGACUCAUAUCCAUGCAUUGAAUUGCAAAAUCAUGGUUCGGGUAUGCUGAAAUGACUUGCAAAACCAAGGUUUAAGAUUUUAGAAGAUACAUGCAUGUUUUAAAGCCAUUGGUUAAAAGAGGUGAAGGGGUUUGUCACUAAGAUGGAAGAAUGCAUGGGUGCUUGUGAUUGUAUUAUAACAAAGGCUGGUCGAGGCACAAUUAUAGAAGCCAUGAUCCCAGAUCUCACCGUCAUUCUAAACGAUUACAUUGUUGACCAGGAAGUUGAAAAUGUACCCUAUGUAGUGGAAAAUGGAUGUGGGAAAUUUUCAAAGUCACCAAAGGAGAUUGUAGAAAUUGUUGGUCAAUGGUUUGGACCUAAAGCACAUGAACACAAGACUAUGAUAGUGAUUGAUCUGAAUUAAACUAUCACAGAUCAAUGACAAACAUCAAAUAUUAAAACACAGCAUAAAUUCAAUCUGGGUACAUAUUUGUUUGUUUCUGAGAAUUUUUUUAAGAAGGCUCAAAAACGAUAGAAGAACAAGGAUAAGAUGAGCAACAUGCCCACAGUGUGUAAAUGAGGCUAAUUUUCGGUGUCAUUUUCGUGUUAUACUUUGCUUUUUUCUUUGUUUUCAGAUGAUUCUUAUUUAAUCAUGAUACUUAAAUUCUGAAUAUGUUUUUGUUUAUCUGUGUAGCUUUAAGAAUCCAACAUAUGUGUUUUAAAAAGAGAAUAGAUCUCAGUUUACUUCUACUUUAUUUCA